GGUCAAGUUAUUAAGGGUGUAGGGCGGAUGCCUUGGCACUAGGAGCCGAUGAAGGACGUGAUAAGCUGCGAUAAGCUUCGGGGAGUUGCACGUAAACUUUGAUCCGAAGAUUUCCGAAUGAGGAAACUCACUUAGAGUAAUGUCUAAGUAUCAUUAAGUGAAUACAUAGCUUAAUGAGGGGAACUCAGGGAACUGAAACAUCUAAGUACCUGAAGGAAGAGAAAGAAAUUCGAUUCCGUAAGUAGCGGCGAGCGAACGCGGAUUAGCCCAAACCAAUAAAGUUUUCUUUGUUGGGGUUGCGGACAUAUCAUAACGAAGAGGUAUCGUAAUUGAAGAGGUUUGGAAAGACCCACCACAGAAGGUAAUAGUCCUGUAUGUUAAACGAGAAGACUUUAGAUAUGAUCCAGAGUACCACGGGACACGUGAAACCCUGUGGGAAGCAGGAGGGACCACCCUCCAAGGCUAAAUACUACCUAGUGACCGAUAGCGUAUAGUACCGUGAGGGAAAGGUGAAAAGAACCCCGGGAGGGGAGUGAAAUAGAACCUGAAACCCUGCACUUACAAGCUGUGGAAGCACAUUUCUUGUGUGACCGCGUACUUUUUGUAGAACGGGCCAACGAGUUACGUUAAGUAGCAAGGUUAAGCACUUAAGGUGCGGAGCCGUAGCGAAAGCGAGUUUUAACUGAGCGUUCAGUUACUUGACGUAGACCCGAAACCGGGCGACCUACCCAUGAGCAGGAUGAAGCGAAAGUAAAAUUUCGUGGAGGUCCGAACCCACGAGCGUUGAAAAGCUCGGGGAUGACUUGUGGGUAGCGGUGAAAUUCCAAUCGAGCCCGGAGAUAGCUGGUUCUCCCCGAAAUAGCUUUAGGGCUAGCCUCAAGGUGAGAGAUACGGAGGUAGAGCACUGAAUGUCCUAGGGGGUAUUGCACCUACCGAAGACUAUCAAACUCCGAAUGCCGUCAUCUUAUACUUGGGAGUCAGACUGUGGGUGAUAAGAUUCAUAGUCGAAAGGGCAACAGCCCAGAUCGUCAGCUAAGGUCCCUAAAUGUAAGUUAAGUGGUAAAGGAUGUGGGAUUGCACAGACAACCAGGAUGUUGGCUUAGAAGCAGCCACUCAUUCAAAGAGUGCGUAAUAGCUCACUGGUCGAGUGAUCCUGCGCCGAAGAUUUCCGGGGCUAAAACUUACUACCGAAGCUACGGCAUCAGUAAUGAUGGGUAGGGGAGCUUCCCAUACGGGUUGAAGCAUGACCGUAAGGACAUGUGGACAGUAUGGGAGUGAGAAUGUUGGCAUGAGUAGCGAGAUGUGGGUGAGAAUCCCACAGGCCGUAAACCCAAGGUUUCCAGGGGAAGGUUCGUCCGCCCUGGGUUAGUCGGGACCUAAGCUGAGGCCGAAAGGCGUAGGUGAUGGACAACAGGUUGAUAUUCCUGUACUACCGAUAACCGUUUGAGAGAAGGGAUGACACAGUAGGAUAAGCUAAGCACACUGUUGGUUAUGUGUGCCCAAGCAUUGAGGCAGUCAAAGUAGGCAAAUCCGCUUUGAUAAUGCUGGGAUGUGAUGGGGAGCGAAAUUUAGUAGCGAAGUAGCUGAUUUCACACUGUCAAGAAAAGUCUCUAUCGAGGUUAAAGGUACCCGUACCGCAAACCGACACAGGUGGGUGAGGAGAGUAUCCUAAGGCCAGCGAGAGAACUGUUGUUAAGGAACUCGGCAAAAUGACCCCGUAACUUAGGGAUAAGGGGUGCCACCAUCAGGUGGCCGCAGAGAAUAGGCCCAAGCGACUGUUUACCAAAAACAUAGGUUUCUGCUAAGUCGCAAGACGAUGUAUAGGAGCUGACGCCUGCCCGGUGCUGGAAGGUUAAGGGGAUCUGUUAGAGCAAUCGAAGCAGUGAACUUAAGCCCCAGUAAACGGCGGCCGUAACUAUAACGGUCCUAAGGUAGCGAAAUUCCUUGUCGGGUAAGUUCCGACCCGCACGAAAGGCGUAACGAUUUGGGCACUGUCUCAACAACAGACUCGGUGAAAUUGUAAUUCCGGUGAAGAUGCCGGAUACCUGCGACAGGACGGAAAGACCCCAUGGAGCUUUACUGUAGCUUGACAUUGGGUCUUGGUACUACAUGUACAGGAUAGGUGGGAGGCUUUGAAACCAGGACGCCAGUUUUGGCGGAGCCAUCCUUGGGAUACCACCCUUGUAGUACUGGGACUCUAACCAUAGGCCAUGAAUCUGGUCUUGGGACACUGUCAGGUGGGCAGUUUGACUGGGGCGGUCGCCUCCCAAAAGGUAACGGAGGCGCUCAAAGGUUCUCUCAGUACGGUCGGAAAUCGUACGUAGAGUGUAAAGGCAAAAGAGAGCUUGAUUGCAAGACAUACAGGUCGAGCAAGGAUGAAAAUCGGACUUAGUGAUCCGGUGGUUCUGCGUGGAAGGGCCAUCGCUCAACGGAUAAAAGCUACCCUGGGGAUAACAGGCUUAUCUCCCCCAAGAGUCCACAUCGACGGGGAGGUUUGGCACCUCGAUGUCGGCUCAUCACAUCCUGGGGCUGUAGUAGGUCCCAAGGGUUGGGCUGUUCGCCCAUUAAAGUGGUACGCGAGCUGGGUUCAGAACGUCGUGAGACAGUUCGGUCCCUAUCCGUCGCAGGCGUAGGAAAUUUGAGAAGACCUGUCCUUAGUACGAGAGGACCGGGAUGGACGUACCUCUGGUGUACCAGUUGUCCUGCCAAGGGCAUGGCUGGGUAGCUAUGUACGGAAUGGAUAAGCGCUGAAAGCAUCUAAGCGCGAAGCCAACUUCAAGAUAAGAUUUCCCACCGCAAGGGUAAGACCCCAGAAAGACUAUCUGGUUGAUAGGUCGAAGGUGUAAGUGCAGCAAUGUAUUUAGCUUAUCGAUACUAAUAGGUCGAGGACUUGACCAA
rnacentral:rRNA from 1 species